UACGUAGGGUCCAAGCGUUAUCCGGAAUUACUGGGCGUAAAGAGUUGCGUAGGUGGUUAAGUAAGCAGAUAGUGAAAGCGUGUGGCUCAACCAUACAUCCAUUAUUUGAACUGCUUUGACUAGAGGAUGAGAGAGGUAGAUGGAAUUCCUAAUGGAGGGGUAAUAUCCGUAGAUAUUAGGAGGAACACCGAUGGCGUAAGCAGUCUACUGGCUCAUUCCUGACACUAAGGCACGAAAGCGUGGGGAGCAAACAGG
rnacentral:rRNA from 1 species